rnacentral:rRNA from 1 species
GACGAACGCUGGCGGCGUGCUUAACACAUGCAAGUCGAGCGGUAAGGCCCUUUCGGGGGUACACGAGCGGCGAACGGGUGAGUAACACGUGGGUGACCUGCCCUCAGCUCUGGGAUAAGCCUGGGAAACCGGGUCUAAUACUGGAUAUGACUCCAUGACGCAUGUUGUGGGGUGGAAAGCCUUGUGCGGCUGAGGAUGGGCCCGCGGCCUAUCAGCUUGUUGGUGGGGUGANGGCCUACCAAGGCGACGACGGGUAGCCGGCCUGAGAGGGCGACCGGCCACACUGGGACUGGA